GGGAGCAGCAAGGUGCCGUUGGGGAAGGCGCGGAAGCUCUGCCUCUCCCCCGCGGCCGCCGGAGGCAGCGCGUUCAGCCGGUCGGCCUCGCUGCCCGCGAUCUCCAACGUCUGGCCGGAGGCUUGGAUCCGCCAGGUGCUGAUGCUGUGUUUCCCAACCUGGACAAUUAAAAGAUGGAUGGACUUCAACUCCCAGAAUUCCCCAGCCACUUACCUAUUCCUGCUUUUUUAUUAUUUGUUGCUGUUGUGGCCCGCCAGUGGCCUGCGCGGAUUGUUGCUGAUCCCGAGACCAGCCUGUGCAGCCAGUGCUUGAGUUGGACAGCGAGGAGGCUGAAGAAGAUGUGGUGCCAGAGGCGGGGAUUCAGCCAGGGCCUUCAGAACCUCCAGAGGCUCCUUUAAGUGAAGAGGACGAAGAGGAGGAGCCUCUUCUCAAUGCACGGGCAUGCAGAGCUGCCAAAAGGCAGGAGUGGCUCCUCAGGAGGAGAUCUCCUCAAGAGUAAGGCUUGGGGCUAAUUGGCCACGCCCUUAGCCUAUUUAAGAAAGAAUGCAGAUUGCAACAAGCUGCAGGAAACAACUUUAGUUCGCUAAUCAUCGCGUUGGGAUGUCUCUGCAAUCUUGCUUCUGGGGUUUUCUGCCAACUCCAGUAAGACACUGACUAUCUUAUCUGUGGAAUUCUGGCAGGCUGUUAAGAACGCUUAUUAACAGCCGGCAUUUGCUAAAACUGCGUUAUUUGAGUAAACUAAGUUUUGUUCAGA